AACCCUCUUCUAUAGUCAGCGUUUCCCUCGAUACCAAGAAUUGUGUUCAAAUGCUUAUGGGAAACCACCAGUCAAAUAAGAAGGCGGUGCAUGGACCCUGAGCAGAACAUGAACUGUCAUCAAGCCCUUGUUGGGACUGUUCUAUGAGAGGAGGAGACAGAAAGGCCAACAUCUGAGCAGCUUUCUGAAAAUCAUCAUUUUUCUCUGCUGUGUCAGUUGUUGUUUCUCUUAGAUCAUGUACACCUGGUGAUGAACACAGCACAGGAGAGAGGCAGACAGAGAGAGAGAGAAAAAGUGGAGCCCGGGGCUGAGACCCCUGCCAUGAGGAGCGAGGAAGUACACGAAGAAGGCAACAUGGUGGGGGACCCAUGCUGCAAGCCAGGAGCCGUUUGAAACUCUACUGGAAUCAAGCCAGUUCAAUAAAUAAAUGAUAAAUGCAGAUGAGCCCACUGGUGAAGGGGAAGGGAUCUCUGCAGCCUCUGGCAUGGUGGCCUUGAGAAGUCCCCACUCCAUGCUCGCUUGAACUGUGAACUGAGGGCUUGGAGGGGCCGUAUGACUGUGACCAUGGAGAAGGCCCGAGAAUGGAGGGGGCGGUUGCGGCAGGAGAGGGAAAAGGAGAGGGGUGCAUUGGGAAAUGCACCAGGACAGCAUGGGUAUGCUCAGGUCACAAACUGAAAUGUUGCAGAGCACUGCUGACCUACAUGCCCAAACACCCCUGUGCAAGCAGCCUUUCCCAUUCUUGGAGAAUUCCCUGGGUGGUGCUCCCUAUACACCCAAAAAGUAGAGGUGACAGCAUGGUGUGCAUCUUUACCCCUAUCACUGUAUGCCAGGGAAAACCCAAGGAGAACUAGAGCUACACUUACUCCAACUUGUGAAACCACAGGCUCAGACAACUGCUGUUCACUCUUGUUUUGAACUUGGGGUUUCCGAGUAUGGUUCAUGUUGAUGCACUGUUUUUAAUGUGUGUAUUUGUUUCCACUUUACUUUAGUUGCCCUGUUUCAUUGCACAGCAUAAAAUUCUAUUUGUGGAAACUCAGAAUGUCUUCAUUAGGUCAGUAGUUUUCAAACUGCAGGUCGCGACCCAGUACUGAGCACUGGGUUGCUGCGGCUCUGGUCAGCACUGCGGACUGAGUGGUUAAAAGUCCUGUCAGCAGUGCUGCCCGGCUAAGGCAGGCUAGUUCCUACUUGUUCUAACAAUGUGUUGCACCCCAGAAGCGGCCAGCAACAGGUCUGGCUCCUCGCGGGGGGGGAGGGACACGGGGCUCCGCGUACUGCCCCCACCCCGAGCACCGGCUCCUGGCCAAUGGGAGCUGGGGAGGCAGUGCCUGUGGGCGAGAGCUUGCGCACCUCCGCCUACGAGCCGGACCUGCUGCUGGCUGCUUCUAGGGCGCAGCGCAAUCCGCGGUCCCAGGACAGGCAGGAAGCCUGCCUUAGCACCCCGGCUGCGCUGCUGACUGGGAGCCACCCGAGGUAAGCCCAUGCUCCAACCCUGUGCCCCAUUCCCUGCCCCAGCCCUGAGCUGCCCCUAAACCUGGAGCCCCCUCCUGCACCCUAAACUCCUCAUCCCCGGCCCCAACCCAGAGCCUGGACCCCCAGCUCAGAGGUUGACCCCCUACCACAUCCCAACCCUCUGCCCCAGUCCUGAGCCCCCCCAAACCCAGAGCCCCCUCCUGCACCUCAAACCCCUCAUCCCUGGACCUACCCCAGAGCCUGCGCCCCUAGCCCAGAGCCCUGACCCCCUCCUGCACGCUAACCCUCUACUCCAGCCCAGAGCCCCCUCCCACACCCUGAACCCCUCAUUCCCGGCCCCACCCCGCAGCACUCACCCCCGCAUGCCAGCCCUGAGCCCCUCCCACACCCCAAACCCCUCAUCCCCAGCUCCAUUGAGUCACAGGCAUCAACAAUUUUCUUCAACUGGGUCUCCAGAAAAAAAGUUUGAAAACCACUGCAUUAGGUUACUCAAAAUAGUACAAGUGGCAAAGAGUCCUGUGGCACCUUAUAGACUAACAGAUGUACUGGAGCAUGAGCUUUCGUGGGUGAAUACCCACUUCUUCAGAUACAUGUAGUGGAAAUUUCCAGAGCCAGGUAUAAAUAUGCAAGCAAGAAUCAGGCUAGGGAUAACGAGGUCAGUUCAAUCAGGGAGGAUGAGGCCCUCUUCUAGCAGUUGAGGUGUGAACACCAAGGGAGGAGAAACUGCUUUUGUAGUUGGCCGGCCAUUCACAGUCUUUGUUUAAUCCUGAGCUGAUGGUGUCAAAUUUGCAAAUGAACUGAAGCUCAGAAGUUUCUCUUUGAAGUCUGGUCCUGAAGUUUUUUUGCUGCAGGCUGGCUACCUUUCAAUCUGCUCUUGUGUGUCCAGUGAGAUUGAAGUGUUCUCCUACAGGUUUUUGUAGAUUGCCAUUCCUAAUAUCUGAUUUGUGUCCAUUUAUCCUUUUACGUAGGGACUGUCCAGUUUGGCCGAUGUACAUAGCAGAGGGGCAUUGCUGGCAUAUGAUGGCGUAUAAUACAUCGGUGGACGUGCAGGUGAAUGAACCGGUGAUGGUGUGGCUGAUCUGGUUAGGUCCUGUGAUGGUGUCGCUGGUGUAGAUAUGUGGGCAGAGUUGGCAUUGAGGUUUGUUGCAUGGAUCGGUUUCUGAGUUAGAGUUACUAUGGUGCAGUGCGUAGUUGCUGGUGAGAAUAUGCUUCAGGUUGGCGGGUUGUCUGUGGACGAGGACUGGCCUGCCUCGCAAGGCCUGUGAAAGUGAGAGAUCGUUGUCUGGGAUGGGUGGUAGAUCACUGAUGAUACGUUGGAGAGGUUUUAGCUGAGGACUGUAUGUGAUGGCCAGUGGAGUUCUGUUGGUUUCUUUCUUGGGCUUGUCUUGCAGCAGGAGGCUUCUGGGUACAUGUCUGGCUCUGUUGAUCUCUUUCCUUAUUUCCUCGUGUGGGUAUUGUAGUUUUGACAAUGCUUGGAGAAUGGAGGGGUGUGGCCGGUGCCCCGUUCACUUGCACUGGCAGAGCUGGAGUGCGGCUGCCAUGCCGGCCUGCAGGAGGGAUGGAAGACACCCGGGGCCUGCUCACCUGGGGAGAGGUACAGUCCCACCCUUGCACCUCGCCUGGGGCGGGUGGGCUGCGCCCUGGCGUGGGCUGGGAGUGCCAUGCAUGGCGGAGGGUCUCAUGCCUUCCCAGAGAUGCUGUGUUUAUAUUUUUUUUUGUUUAAUUUUUUACAGAAAACACGAAGGUCAUAUGUAGGGGGGAGGGUGUUCUGAAGAUGCUGUGCCUAGGGGCGCAGAAGGUGUAAAUCCAGCCCUGCUUGUAGCCCUUCUCCCCCAUGCCCCAAGCGAUCUCCUUGUAGAUGUCGACAUUUCUACUGCAGGAUUGGAGCUGUGCCUGCGCAGCCUCUUUGCCCCACAGAGCCGAGAGACCACCCCCUCCCGUGCACUGCAGGCAGGAGCGCGUCUGCUGCGUGGAGCCAGCACAAUCCGCUGGGCAGUUGCUAGUUGUGCUCUCCACACCGAGCAAUCAGGGAAAUAUAAUUUCAAAAAAUCGUGGGGCUUUAAAAGGGAAGGGAGAUGUACCUGCAUACUGGCCACUUGGCAGUGGUGUUCAAAAUGAUGACCAGAGUGGUCAUAGUGGGGCAUUGUGGGACACCUCCUAGAGGCCACUAAAGUCGACAUAAGUAACACAGUGUCUACACUGACACUGUAUGACCCCAACUACAUCGAGCUAAGUGCUAUGCCUCUUGCGGAGGUGGAGUUAUUAAGUUGGCGUAGUGGGCAAGUUACAUCGGCGGGAGUGACAUUUUAGUGUAGACACAGAGUUAGGUUGACAGAAGCUUCCUUGCAUCGACCUAACUCUACAGUGUAGACCAGGUAUGUCACUGCUAAAUACAAGGUUUGAACAGAUUGUUUCACAUAAGUAGUUAGCACAUAUUUUUAGCCCUGGUCUACACUACGAGGUUAGGUCAAAUUUAGCCGCAUUAGGUCGAUUUUAUAAGCAAUGCGUCUACACAACCAAACCUGUUCCGUCGACGUAAAGGACUCUUAAAAUUGGCUGCUGUACUCCUCCCUGGCAAGGGGAGUAGCGCUAAAAUCGACCCUGCUGGGUCAAAUUUGGGGUAGUGCAGAUGCAAUUUGAUGGUAUUGGACCCCGGGAGCUAUCCCAGAGUGCUCCAAUGUGACCACUCUGGACAGCACUUUCAACUCCAAUGCACUAGCCAGGUACACAGGAAAAGCCCCGGGAACUUUUGAAUUUCAUUUCCUGUUUGGUCAGCAUGGCGAGCUCAGCAGCACAGGUGACCGUGCAGUCCCAGAAUCGCAAACAAGCUCCAGCAUGGAGCGAACGGGAGACAUUGGAUCUGAUUGCUGUAUGGGGAGAACAAUCUGUGCAGGCAGAACUCCGAUC